AGUCGUCGCCCGCCGUAGACCGUGGCCAGUGGGCACUUGUUGGGAGUGCGAGAUUCUCUCUUUCUGUAAUCGCGUUUUGCUGAUACCCUUUCCUUAUUCAACCUCUGCAACUUCUUCUGGCCGCCCCUAUCCUUCAGUAUGGAUAAUAAGCACACAAUUAUCCUAAUGCAGACAUCACAUAACAGAUCAUCU